rnacentral:rRNA from 1 species
CAGAGGGAUAGCCCAGAGAAAUUUGGAUUAAUACCUCAUAGUAUACAGAGUUGGCAUCAACACUGUAUUAAAGUUCCAACGGUAAAAGAUGGGCAUGCGUCCCAUUAGCUAGAUGGUAAGGUAACGGCUUACCAUGGCUACGAUGGGUAGGGGUCCUGAGAGGGAGAUCCCCCACACUGGUACUGAGACACGGACCAGACUCCUACGGGAGGCAGCAGUGAGGAAUAUUGGUCAAUGGACGCAAGUCUGAACCAGUCAUGCCGCGUGCAGGAUGACGGUCCUAUGGAUUGUAAACUGCUUUUGUACGGGAAGAAACAACAUUACGUGUAAUGUCUUGACGGUACCGUAAGAAUAAGGAUCGGCUAACUCCGUGCCAGCAGCCGCGGUAAUACGGAGGAUCCAAGCGUUAUCCGGAAUCAUUGGGUUUAAAGGGUCCGUAGGCGGUUUGGUAAGUCAGUGGUGAAAGCCCAUCGCUCAACGGUGGAACGGCCAUUGAUACUGCCAGACUUGAAUUACUGGGAAGUAACUAGAAUAUGUAGUGUAGCGGUGAAAUGCUUAGAGAUUACAUGGAAUACCAAUUGCGAAGGCAGGUUACUACCGGUGGAUUGACGCUGAUGGACGAAAGCGUGGGUAGCGAACAGGAUUAGAUACCCUGGUAGUCCACGCCGUAAACGAUGGAUACUAGCUGUUGGGGGCAACUUCAGUGGCUAAGCGAAAGUGAUAAGUAUCCCACCUGGGGAGUACGGGCGCAAGCCUGAAACUCAAAGGAAUUGACGGGGGCCCGCACAAGCGGUGGAGCAUGUGGUUUAAUUCGAUGAUACGCGAGGAACCUUACCAAGGCUUAAAUGUAGUCUGACCGAUUUGGAAACAGAUCUUUCGCAAGACAGAUUACAAGGUGCUGCAUGGUUGUCGUCAGCUCGUGCCGUGAGGUGUCAGGUUAAGUCCUAUAACGAGCGCAACCCCUGUUGUUAGUUGCCAUCGAGUCAUGUCGGGAACUCUAACGAGACUGCCAGUGCAAACUGUGAGGAAGGUGGGGAUGACGUCAAAUCAUCACGGCCCUUACGCCUUGGGCUACACACGUGCUACAAUGGCCGGUACAGAGAGCAGCCACUUCGUGAGGAGGAGCGAAUCUAUAAAGCCGGUCACAGUUCGGAUCGGAGUCUGCAACUCGACUCCGUGAAGCUGGAAUCGC